rnacentral:rRNA from 1 species
UACGUAGGGCGCAAGCGUUGUCCGGAAUUAUUGGGCGUAAAGAGCUCGUAGGCGGUUUGUCGCGUCUGCUGUGAAAACCUAAGGCUCAACCUUGGGCUUGCAGUGGGUACGGGCAGACUAGAGUGCGGUAGGGGUGACUGGAAUUCCUGGUGUAGCGGUGGAAUGCGCAGAUAUCAGGAGGAACACCGAUGGCGAAGGCAGGUCACUGGGCCGCAACUGACGCUGAGGCGCGAAAGCUAGGGGAGCAAACGGG